UACGUAGGGUGCGAGCGUUAAUCGGAAUUACUGGGCGUAAAGUGUGCGCAGGCGGCCGAGCAAGUCGGGUGUGAAAGCCCCGAGCUUAACUUGGGAAUUGCGCUCGAAACUACUUGGCUGGAGUGUGGCAGAGGAAGGUGGAAUUCCAGGUGUAGCGGUGAAAUGCGUAGAGAUCUGGAGGAACACCGAUGGCGAAGGCAGCCCCCUGGGCUAACACUGACGCUCAUGCACGAAAGCGUGGGGAGCAAACAGG
rnacentral:rRNA from 1 species